rnacentral:misc_RNA from 1 species
AGCUGAUGUUGAGUUCGGCUGGAGAGGACCCCGGCGACGACGACGCAGGUGAGGAGCCGACGCCGCGGACGGUGCGUUUGCGGGUACGUGGUGCGGGUGACGGCGACGAGAGCGGGGAGACGAAGGAGGGGCGCGACUUGGGCUUGGCACUGGACCUUAGCUUCGGCUUGGGCUUCGACGGGGAGGCGGAGCCCGGCGAGGAAAGGAAUCUGACGUUGAGACCGGUGGGGGAAGAACCCGGCGACGACGACGCGUGGGAGGGGCCGCCGCGGCGGAUGGCGCCCUUGCGGGUGCGGAUGCGCGGUGUGGCAGACAGCGACGCGAGCGGGGAGAGGAAGGGGGAGUCCGGCUUUGGCUUGGGGUUGCGCCUGGGCCUGGAGGUGGCGGCGGCGGCAGUCGCUCGUGAUCUCCCCAUGGCCCCGCUUCGCUUCGGCUCUCGAAGUUUGAACUCCCAAC